ensembl:lincRNA
UGUGAUGGAACAGUCACAGCUUGGAAGAAACCACCAUAUAACUAGUAAUUUCAUCCAUAUCUGUCAAGUGAAUUGCCUUUCCCAAACAUCGAAUUUAUCCAAAGAAUAUCUCCUUGGAUGUAAUCAACCUCCAAUCUGCUGAGAAACACUGCAAAAAUGACUUCAGCUGCCAAAAAUAAUAAUGUCGUUUACAAGCAGCUCUUCCUAUGUCUAAGGAAGAACGAGUCACACAUGCGAGUUUUUGCUGGCUUCGGGAGAACAAGCAAGGAAAAAGACAAAUCCCACCUACCCUAGCCUAAAAUACACAAGGAGUAGCAGAACCCCGCGGAAGCUGUGGCUCAUUCCAAAAGGUACUGGCAAUAUUGAAGAAGACUCGUAUCCGCAAAAAUCUGCAUGCUUACACUUGUUCAGAUUUGUUGACCGGAUGGAGAAGGAAUUGGUGCAGAAAGAAGCUAUAAUCAGGCAGACAAAUGAAGGAGAAAAAUUCAGUUAUCACCUUCUGAAGAGGAUCCAAAGUGGACACCCCAGCCUGCAGUGUCCCUGCCAUGAUAAUAGACCUGUGAAGCUAAAUGAAGCUGGAGGCUAUCACUGUUGUCUUGAACUAGAGACACUGGACUCCUCCCCAGGGAACUAG